rnacentral:rRNA from 1 species
UGCCAGCCGCCGCGGUAAUACGGAAGGUCCAAGCGUUAAUCGGAAUUACUGGGCGUAAAGCGCGCGUAGGUGGUUUAUUAAGUUGGAUGUGAAAUCCCCGGGCUCAACCUGGGAACUGCAUCCAAAACUGAUUCACUAGAGUACGAUAGAGGGAGGUAGAAUUCACAGUGUAGCGGUGGAAUGCGUAGAUAUUGUGAAGAAUACCAAUGGCGAAGGCAGCUAGCUAGAAUGGAUCCGACGGUGAGGGAUGAAAGCUAGGGGAGCGAUCCGGAUUAGAUA